GACGAACGCUGGCGGCGUGCUUAACACAUGCAAGUCGAACGGAAAGGCCCUGCUUUUGUGGGGUGCUCGAGUGGCGAACGGGUGAGUAACACGUGAGUAACCUGCCCUUGACUUUGGGAUAACUUCAGGAAACUGGGGCUAAUACCGGAUAGGAGCUCCUGCUGCAUGGUGGGGGUUGGAAAGUUUCGGCGGUUGGGGAUGGACUCGCGGCUUAUCAGCUUGUUGGUGGGGUAGUGGCUUACCAAGGCUUUGACGGGUAGCCGGCCUGGGAGGGUGACCGGCCACCUUGGGACUGCGAUACGGCCCAGACUCCUACGGGAGGCAGCAGUGGGGAAUAUUGCGCAAUGGGCGGAAGCCUGAUGCAGCAACGCCGCGUGCGGGAUGACGUCCUUCGGGUUGUAAACCGCUUUCGCCUGUGACGAAGCGUGAGUGACGGUAAUGGGUAAAGAAGCACCGGCUAACUACGUG
rnacentral:rRNA from 1 species